UACGGAAGGCAGCAGUGGGGAAUAUUGCACAAUGGGCGAAAGCCUGAUGCAGCUAUGCCGCGUGUAUGAAGAAGGCCUUAGGGUUGUAAAGUACUUUCAUCGGGGAGGAAAAAACAAAACUAAUAAUUUUAUUUCUUGACGUUACCCGAAAAAGAAGCACCGGCUAACUCCGUGCCAGCAGCCGCGGUAAUACGGAGGGUGCUAGCGUUAAUCAGAAUUACUGGGCGUAAAGAGCACGUAGGUGGUUUUUUUAAAGUCAGAUGUGAAAUCCCUGGGCUUAACCUAGGAACUGCAUUUUGAAACUGAAAUACUAGAGUAUCGUAGAGGGAGGUAGAAUUCUAGGUGUAGCGGUGAAAUGCGUAGAUAUCUGGAGGAUACCUGUGGCGAAGCGGCCUCUAAACGAAUACUGACACUGAGGUGCGAAAGCGUGGGGAGCAAACGAGGAUUAGAUACC
rnacentral:rRNA from 1 species